rnacentral:rRNA from 1 species
GACGAACGCUGGCGGCGUGCUUAACACAUGCAAGUCGAACGGAAAGGCCCUGCUUUUGUGGGGUGCUCGAGUGGCGAACGGGUGAGUAACACGUGAGUAACCUGCCCUUGACUUUGGGAUAACUUCAGGAAACUGGGGCUAAUACCGGAUAGGAGCUCCUGCUGCAUGGUGGGGGUUGGAAAGUUUCGGCGGUUGGGGAUGGACUCGCGGCUUAUCAGCUUGUUGGUGGGGUAGUGGCUUACCAAGGCUUUGACGGGUAGCCGGCCUGAGAGGGUGACCGGGCCCAAUGGGACUGAGGUACGGGCCAGACCCCUACGGGGGGCAAGAGUGGGGAAUAUUGGCAAAUGGGCCGGAGGCUGGUGCCACCACCGCGGGGGGGGGAAGACCGGCUUUGGGGUUGUAAACGCCUUUGGCUUGUACGGAGGGGUGGGGACGGUAAAUGGGUAAGAAGGACCGGCUAACUUCGGG